rnacentral:rRNA from 1 species
GAUGAGCGCUGGCGGCGUGCCUAAUACAUGCAAGUCGAGCGAAUGGAUUAAGAGCUUGCUCUUAUGAAGUUAGCGGCGGACGGGUGAGUAACACGUGGGUAACCUGCCCAUAAGACUGGGAUAACUCCGGGAAACCGGGGCUAAUACCGGAUAACAUUUUGAACCGCAUGGUUCGAAAUUGAAAGGCGGCUUCGGCUGUCACUUAUGGACGGACCCGCGUCGCAUUAGCUAGUUGGUGAGGUAACGGCUCACCAAGGCAACGAUGCGUAGCCGACCUGAGAGGGUGAUCGGCCACACUGGGACUGAGACACGGCCCAGACUCCUACGGGAGGCAGCAGUAGGGAAUCUUCCGCAAUGGACGAAAGUCUGACGGAGCAACGCCGCGUGAGUGAUGAAGGCUUUCGGGUCGUAAAACUCUGUUGUUAGGGAAGAACAAGUGCUAGUUGAAUAAGCUGGCACCUUGACGGUACCUAACCAGAAAGCCACGGCUAACUACGUGCCAGCAGCCGCGGUAA